rnacentral:lncRNA from 1 species
GCAAGGGGCUCCUGCUGAAGAUUCCAAAGGAAGUUGUGUGCAAAACCAGUCCCAGCUCUUUCCAGAUCUUCACACAGGCUUGAGCAAUGUUGACGUGGAAACUGUACCUGAGGAUGUGUAUGUGACCUUAGGGGAAAACCAAUGCGAUUAAGUAAGGCUGGAUUUGGACUCCAAGGGACAGUUCCUGGGGACGCUGAGGAUUAGCAGUAACAGCUGUUGUCCUGCCCAUUCGAGGAGAAACUGAAGGGAGAAGAAUGAACUUGUUUAAAGGAUGUGUCUGUGCAGCUCUGGGAGGGGAAACUGUUCCAUCAAGCCUCAAGGAAAAUGUGUUCCUAGGAGAGGGCAGGAUGGGGGUGCCUGCCGCCCUCACAGGCUGGGCCUGUGCCGCCCUCUGCCUGGUUCCCGGCUCCUCCGCCUUUUCCCACGGGGCUGGCGCAGCGGCCUGUGCGGACAUGCGACCCAAGCACAUUCCAGCCCGGACUCAGAGCCCCGGGACCCACCACAUCACCGUCCUCACCGGCAGCUCUUCCUACUCACCGGGUGCCACGGUUUCAGUGGCCGUGAGGAGCAGCCGUGAUUUCAUGGGCUUCCUACUCCAGGCCCGAAGAGUGUCUGAUCAUCAGAUAGCUGGCUCUUUUGUCUUCAUUCCUCCUCAUGCCAAACUGAUAACUUGCUUGGAAGAGGCUGACACAGUCACCCACGCGGACAAGUCCCGGAAGAGAAACCUGUCAUUCAAGUGGCAGGCCCCUGCCCAGCCCGUGGGGAACAUCAGGUUCUUUUUGUCUGUAGUCCAGUCAUAUUUCGUUUACUGGGUGAAGAUUGAAUCAUCUGUCGUGUCUCAACAGACACACAGUAGAGCCCAUUCGGACAGCCACGUGGAGCCUGGCUCACCGAUGCCAGCCUCUGGGCAGAGGCUGGAGGACAUGGAAGGAACCAUCCCAGUGUCUCUGGGCCUCCACUUGGCCCCCAGUCUCCCCAUCACUCUUCUUCAGCGGCGCACAGAUGUCUCUGCUGCGGCUGUAACUGGAGCUGGAGAAGAGGACAGCUCAGGUCCUGCUCCUACCAGUGUUUGGGUGGCAGAGUUGCUCGGGGCUGCAGAGACUCCAUUCCAAGCGUCUUCACACACAGCUGCUGCAGUCAGUGAUGGCCGUCACCCCAGCAGGGACAGCAGCCCCGCCCUGGAACCAUCCCUGGAUGUCCGGGGUCUGGAGAGGCUUGUAGCCCUCAGGGACUUCUCCACAGAGAGCUUCGCUUCCGGCUUCAGCACCUGCCACAGGACUCAGAAUGAUCCAAGCUUUGAUUCACUAGAAACUUGUCUGCCCUCAGAUAGGGAUGAACAGGACAAGACGGAGGCCUCUAAUAGGACAGUGAUGAGGCCUCCUUUGUACACUGUCCAUCUCCCCCACCCUCACCUCUGGUCCUCCGGGGCACUCACUGGACAUGGGGCCGGGGCAGCCCACCCAACUCCUGCCCUCCACACCUCUGCCACCUUCAGGCCCACCACCGCUGAUGGCCAGUUAGAGGCAUCCAGACCCUCUGCCAGCUUCCUGCCUCGGUCAAAGCACAAGGAGCGCGCAGUGGAGGAGGGCAGUGGAGUGGCUGGGGUGGGAGACCCCAGGAAGACCAACCCAAGACCUGAGCUCGGGCAGGAUGGAGCCAGGGCCCCGUGGGGGAUCCAGCUCGGGACUCCGCAGCUGGGCCUCCUGCUCUGCCUCUUGGCCGUGCUGGGCGUGGCCGUGGUUGUCGGCCUUCGUCACCUGCACACCCAGUAUUGCCGCAGGCAGAUGGAAGUGUCCCUUUGUGAGCCUGCCAGGGAUGCGGUUGCCACAGGUGACGAUGGUGAGAUCGUGUACGUCCAGAGAAUUGGAGACAACAGUUUUGUUUUCGUCGAAGGGGAAUGCAACUGGAUUGCUCCCUCUGUGAGCAGCAAGAAAACAGUCCUCUGA